CACGCCCGAGCCCGCCUGCCGGCCGCCGCCGCGGAGCCACCGCAAUCAGCGCAGGAGGCGGCCACCUCUUCGAGGGAGGGGUCUCGCCUGAGACUCCCCUUGGUCCCCGCCAUGGGGACCAUGGCACGACUGGAGGCGCCCCAGUGCCCCGGGUUCCUGGCCCGCCUCCUCGGUGGCACCUGGUGCCUGCUCUGUAUCGCCGGACAGGUAUGCGGAGACCAAAGCCAAGGGGCUGUUUUCCUGCGGGAAUUUACACUGAUUCGAAGAGAGAGCCUCCAUGAAGAUUUCCUGUCUGACCUCUUGAAUAGUCACA
rnacentral:lncRNA from 1 species